AAACCUGUCCCCGUCCGUCGUGGCGUUGUGCACGUCUCCUCCCUCCCUGGGCCGCUGGUUGCGCGCGGGUCGGCAGGAGGACACCCCGUCCUCUGACUUUGGUUCGGAGGCUCCUCGCCCUCCACCUGUGUAGUCGGAGGUGUGCGCGACUGCAGCUCCGACUACCUGGGAGCAGUUCCGCGCCCCUCUCCACCCGCGCCCACCCACAGUUACCAGGUGACAGGGGUGUUUAUGAAGAACUGGGACUCACUGGAUGAACAUGGGGUCUGUACUGCCGACAAAGACUGUGAAGAUGCUUACAGAGUUUGCCAGAUCUUAGACAUCCCUUUCCAUCAAGUGUCCUACGUAAAGGAGUAUUGGAAUGAUGUGUUCAGGGGCAGAUGCCAUUGCCACAGGUCACUAUGCAAGAACUUCCCUGGAAGAUGAAGAAGUCUUUGAGCAGAAGCACGUUAAGAAGCCCGAAGGGCUUUUCAGAAAUCGGUUUGAAGUUAGAAAUGCCAGGUUUCCCAGGAUGCCCUGAGGAGAACCAUCUUCCCUCUGGGGGGAUUAACGAAAGAGUUUGUAAAGAAAAU
rnacentral:sRNA from 1 species